CGACGACGACGACGACGACGACGACGACGACGACGACGACGAUCUGUUGUUUGUUCUGCCCUGUUCUCUGUAUCCUAAGCCAGCUAGCCCGUUGAUUUUGGAUCUUGUAUCUGCCUCCCAUCUCACUGUAGGAAUGCCAGGAUUAUAGAUGAGUAUUACUGCACCCAUCUGGCUAAAGGUGGGAUUCAGGGACCGAACUUGUUUGUCAGGGUCUGAUAUGAGUGCUUUUACCUUGGUCUGGAACAAUUGAUUUUCCAUCUACUAUUAGUUGCUGCAGGUUUUGGACUCUUUUCCAACCUAAACCCUGUGACCACUUUAAAACCAGCUGGCUAGAGGCAGGUGGAGCAGGUGCUCAUGGCCGAAGGCCAACAUAAACAAUCUUCUCACCUUUGGAGAGUCAGAACCCUCACUUUCAUUGUAGAAGUUUCUAGAUUCCAAGGAGAAACUGACACUGGCAAAUUAAGAUGAAGCAUCCUGGCCUUUCACUUAAAGCCCUAACCAUUGGGAACACCCAGCUUCUCAUUUUUGGCCUGGGGCUCCAUUGGUAUGUUGAUAAGGAGAUACUAAAAGGCUUGGCUAUUACAGAUGUGUUUCAGCUAUGAGGCAACAGUGCUGCUUUCCUUCAGUGCUCUCGGGAAGAUCAACAAGUGUUGAUUCCCUUACAUGAAUUUGAUUCCACAGCCCUUCUGCUUACUCCCCAAAUCAGUGAGAGCAGAAAUGGAAUGCUUCAGUUUUAACUCAACACUGAUAUUUAAAGGGUUCCCUUUUUUUUUUUAUCAAAUGGUUCCAUCCUGAAUCAGGGGGAUGGAAUAUUGAAAGUAUGGAAUCAGAAAGUUUUUAGCCUCCCAGUAUGUGUGCCUUACAUUAGCUAUCUGAAAGCUUGAGGUCCUGAUGACAACUUUAACAGACCCUAGGUUGUGGUGAGUUCCAGGUAAGUGCAUCCACAAAAUUUCUAGGCUUCAAGGAUUGGUAGGUCUCUAGAGACCAGCAGCCUCCCUCUGACCUGAAGAGAUCAAGACAGUUAAACUGAGCAGGGCAGUGGUUUCCCUAAUUGCGUGACUCUAGAUCCUAUUUCAUGUUAUUUUUGCCCACCCCCAGUCCUUAUAUGCCAUUUAGCAAUCCAAGGACAGCCCGGGCAGUGUUAGUGGUAGUGAAAGCAGUUUCCACGGUAUGGCACAUAUAAGAAGGAAGAGUGAACUGGUCUAAUUAAUGCCUACAUUAUUUAAAAAGUUAGAAUGUACUGUUCAGGAAGCUUUUCAGAAUAUUCUUAUCAUAUCUUGAAAAAUUAGUGUUUAAAUGACUCUAGAUUAAAAAAAAGUCACCAUCAUCAUCUGAAUCUAAAGGAGAAUCUGAUGUAUGUGACCAUGGGAGAAAAUUACCUUUAACUGUUGAUUAUUGUUCAACAGUGGUCUCAGUAGUAGGCAUGAUACAUAUCCAAUGAACAUAGAAGAGAAACAAUUGGCCACUUUGCCCUGCCAAGGAGCCCUAGUGCCAAGUAACAUUCAGGCCAAACCAGCUGUCCCCUUAAUACCAGGGAGAAAAUUGCCUCAUCCUAUCACCCCAGAGAAAUGCCAUAGGAAUGACAGCAUAAGAACAGAUUCAAGCUUCUUGGUUUCCUGGGGUCUACCAGAUGGCCUGUGUUGGGUUCCUAGUUUGGCUGUGUCAUAGUGACUUGACUGAGCACCUCAUGGGGUUCAUCCAGGUCACAAUUUGACAGUUCUCAAUUACUAGAAUUCUUCAGACUAUUCACAUGGUAUGGUGGCUAGGAUUUACUAAGAAUGCUGCCUGGAUUAGCGUAUACAAGAACUCAAGUUCACAAGUCAAGACCCAUAAACAGACUCCCUGUGAAUUUCAAUUCAAGCCUUUGUAUAUACCAUUUACAUCUUCUUGGGGAGAGGCCAUCAGUUUCUAUUCGUAUCUUACAGUGAUCUGUGCUGAUGGGGAACAUGGCUAAGCCUGGGAAGCUAGUGAGAACGAGGAAAGGUUGUUCUCCAAUGUUGUGUGAUUCCUGCCUGACAUCUCACCUGAUAUCUAUUCCCAUCAGGGAAUUGCUUGAAAUAACGUGACCAGAAUCUUACUCAUUGUAGAGCAUCUUACUGGGGGUAAGAAUUUGGCCAGGGUGGGGGGCACUUGGGAGAACUGGAGCCUGGAGGGAAAUAAUGGCAGAUGGAUGUUGUAAAACUACAUUGUAUAAAUGCAUGAGAUGGUCAAAGAAAAAUACAAAUAUUAAAAUAAUAAUUAAUGAGUCAUGAGAACCUUGGUAAGUUGAUUGUUCUACAAUGGAAGACCACAUAUCC
rnacentral:sRNA from 1 species